rnacentral:rRNA from 1 species
UUAAAGUCUAACCUGCCCACUGAAAUUUUUAAAUGGCCGCAGUAUUCUAACUGUGCAAAGGUAGCAUAAUCAUUAGUCUUUUAAUUGAAGGCUGGAAUGAAUGGUUGGACGAAAUAUUAACUGUUUCAUUUAAAUUUUUAUAGAAUUUUAUUUUUUAGUCAAAAAGCUAAAAUUUAUUUAAAAGACGAGAAGACCCUAUAAAUCUUUAUAUUUUGUUUAUUUUAACUAUAAAGAUUACUUUUUUUAUAAUAAGUUAAAAUAUUUUAUUGGGGUGAUAUUAAAAUUUAAAAAACUUUUAAUUUUUAAAACCAUUAAUAUAUGAUUAAUUGAUCCAUUUAUAAUGAUUAAAAAUUUAAGUUACUUUAGGGAUAACAGCGUAAUUUUUUUGGAGAGUUCAUAUCGAUAAAAAAGAUUGCGACCUCGAUGUUGGAUUAAGAUAUAAUUUUGGGUGUAGCCGUUCAAAUUUUAAGUCUGUUCGACUUUUAAAUUCUUACAUGAUCUGAGUUCAAACCGGUGUAAGCCAGGUUGGUUUCUAUCUUUAAAAAAUUAAAAUAUUUUAGUACGAAAGGACCAAAUAUUAAAAUAAUUAUAUUUUAUACAAGAAUAUUAUUAAUUUAA